rnacentral:rRNA from 1 species
GCAUGGUUGUCGUCAGCUCGUGUCGUGAGAUGUUGGGUUAAGUCCCGCAACGAGCGUAACCCCUAUUGUUAGUUGCCAUCAUUCAGUUGGGCACUCUAGCGAGACUGCCGGUAAUAAACCGGAGGAAGGUGGGGAUGACGUCAAAUCAUCAUGCCCCUUAUGACCUGGGCUACACACGUGCUACAAUGGUUGGUACAACGAGUUGCGAGUCGGUGACGGCGAGCUAAUCUCUUAAAGCCAAUCUCAGUUCGGAUUGUAGGCUGCAACUCGCCUACAUGAAGUCGGAAUCGCUAGUAAUCGCGGAUCAGCACGCCGCGGUGAAUACGUUCCCGGGCCUU